AUGUGGUGGUUUUAUGUGUUGUGUUAUACAAUUCAUGAAGUUUGCAGACAUUUUGGAGGAACAUAAUUGCCUGUUGAAGAAGAAACAUCUUUACUCCUGCGCAACUUGGAGUUGAGGGGUCAGCUGCAGGCCCUAACCAAACUUACCCUGAGAAGAGAGCUUUUGGUAAGAAGUGAAAGGCCAAAUGGGUUACGCCUCUGGAGGGAAUGAAACUGGUUGUCCAGCUUGUGACUGAGCUACAUAUUGUGCUGCCAGUUGUGCGUUCUGGUGAAGAGAUAUCUUAUAUCCCAAGAAGACAGUGUGAUGUUGCUGUUUCAACUUGCUCCAUGAAGAAUAUGAAGUUGAGCUGCUUCAUUAUGUUAAGCAAUCGCUCAUGUUCACUUUGUUCUUCAUAAAUGAAGAUGGGUGAUACGUGAAUCAAUUUGCUGUAACGGUCAAAAUGACUUAUGUACAAAUAUGUUCUCUGUAAGCUGAGGUGGGUGAUAUGUGACUGAAUUUGGCGUAAUACUAAAAUGAUGUAUAAGUGUAUUGUCUGUAAUAAUUUCCUGUAUCUGGAAUAACUUACUGAUACUGGUGUUUCAUGUUACAAUGUGUAUAAAGCAAUGUAAUGUGUUUUGCUUGUGUAAAAAGUUAGGAACUUGGCCCUGUAUGCUGUAUUUUAAAAAAAUGGUGUUUCUGUUUUUAUUUUGAAAUGUGUGCGUCACUUAUGUGCUGGUUUGUACUGCUACUUGUGAAAAUUUGUGUAGCCAACAGUGAGAUUAAAUAUUGCUGAUGUUUUGAUGUGUAAUUCAGCACAAAAUGAGA